UUUUUUUUUUUUUUUUUUUUAGUAGCAGGAGAGACUCAAUCAACAUCUACUACCACACUUUCAAGUACAACCCAGCUCUGAGAUCAACAAUAUAAAGAAACAGAUGGAAGGAAAUGAAGAGAAACACAUACUAGUUCCAAUUGGACUACUGAGUAGACUUUAACAUCCUGGUGCUACAUAUGAAGACGACCAAUUGGAAUCAGAUCAUUCAAUAAAUGAAAUACCAUGACUGAUGACUAAGAAUGAGCAAUAAGUUUAAAAGUAGCACCUUUGUUGCUUUAGUGUGAUUCAUGUUUUGUAACAAAUAUUCAACAACAGGAUGAUCAUGUCAACCUUGCAGAGAAAGUUCUAACAUGCUAAUUUCGAUGGAACAUGAUGCAUUUUCAGGAGAAAGCAAAUUGCACUUCACACGGGUAAAAAACAUGCAAGGAGCCGAAAGUAUGAGCAGGGAAAAAAGCUUAUGGUUCCCAAAGUUAACUACGUUAAUAAGAUCAAAGAUUAUAAACACUGAAACAGGAGAAAAUCAAUUAGCUAUGACAAAUUUUUAGCAAAUUAUCAAACAGGCACCCCCUUCUAAAACUCCAACAACAAAAUAUAUUGAAUUUAAAUAGCAACUCAUUUGACCAUGAGUAGAAGCCAUUCCAAUUCAAGCAACUCAGAUAAUUAAAAUUCAGUUAGCAAUUUCACAGCAAAAUAACGCAGCAAUUGGCUAUUACUCUAUGUACUUUUCAGUGGUUCCUAACAUUCAGUGACAUGUAUCACCAAUACGCUCAAAAGCAUAGAUUAUGUGCCUUGUAAAUGAUCUCAAGUAAAUUAGGCGAACAGAUGCACUAGCACAGAUAAACAUAUGUACCGGUAGGGCCACUAAACGUCCAAGACAGCACCCACAUGAGACUAGAAGAAUCAAUUAAAAUCACCAUUCAAAAUGGGUAAGCUGUGGUCUUUUACUUCUAACUCCUAGCAGUGCGACAAAUCCAAGAAUUUCUCUUACUCAAAGCCAAAGGCUACAGAUUCUAUAAUUCAUAAUUAUAGCCCACUCGCAAAAUAAAAAUCAGAAUCCAUUAAUGAAAGCUACAAAACCCAGAAUAAAAAUCACACUCACGUAUCACCGCCGAGCUUCGUUGGCAUCAUUAGGAGAUGAAGGGGCAGAAGAGGAAUCGUCCUUCGUGAUAGAAGGAAGAGGAUUAGAGCCCUUAAUAAUCCAACCCAGAGCGAAGAAAGAGAGACCCGCGAGAAUUGCUGUCCCCCAAGCGUGGGAGUACCAUCUGCUGUACUGCCGUAUUGCAAAUCUCCACUGCUCCCUCAGUGUUGCCGGGUCCGGGUUUGCCGUGUCGGGUGGGUUGGGGUAGUGAACCUUUUGGCCCGAGAAGUCGGCUUUAGCGUUGGUGUUGGCGCCACCAUUUCUGAUUUCGGAAGGAAUUUUAGAAGGAUGAGGAGGAGGAAGAUUCUGAGGGGUUCCAGCAUUAGGGUUUUGGGGGUCGGCCAUUAUAGAACACUUCACAGUC
rnacentral:misc_RNA from 1 species